GAGGAAUAUUGGUCAAUGGACGCAAGUCUGAACCAGCCACGUCGCGUGAAGGAAGACGGCCCUACGGGUUGUAAACUUCUUUUAUACGGGAAUAAAGUGCCCCACGUGUGGGGUUUUGCAUGUACCGUAUGAAUAAGGAUCGGCUAACUCCGUGCCAGCAGCCGCGGUAAUACGGAGGGUGCAAGCGUUAAUCGGAAUCACUGGGCGUAAAGCGCGCGUAGGCGGCUUUUUAAGUCGGACGUGAAAGCCCUCGGCUCAACCGGGGAAUUGCGUUCGAAACUGGGAGGCUUGAGUCCUGGAGAGGGUGGCGGAAUUCCGGGUGUAGGAGUGAAAUCCGUAGAUAUCCGGAGGAACACCGGUGGCGAAGGCGGCCACCUGGACAGGUACUGACGCUGAGGUGCGAAAGCGUGGGGAGCAAACA
rnacentral:rRNA from 1 species